CAGCAGGUGUCACCCGGGCUGCUGUCACACUACAUCUUCUCACUCACAUUCCAAAGCUCGCUGUCUGCUCCUCUCUCCCAUCGCUCUGCUCGACUGUGAGAAUCUUUCCCGGCUCGUCCAAGACUCAGUCCGGCUUUUGCGCAAAUCAGCUCCGAGCUUCUAUGACUCAGCAAAGAGCUCGGCUUUUAUUUUUCAGAUGGAAUUUACCACGCUGUGACUACAUCCAGGGGGAGGAACCAUUUCCCCGAGCUGUUUCCAAGCAGAGCCCUUGAGCCAGGAUCGCCCAAGCUCUCCCUGUGCACCUUAAGGCCAAGCACAGAGGCAUCCUCUGAGCCCCCAGCCCAGCUCCCUGCAGGGCGCGAACAGACGCUUCUCGGUGGGGAAGGGGCCCGCAGCUCUGCACGGCCGGGCGGCCGAAGGCACAGCCACGCAGGUGAGAUCCUGAAGGCAGCUUGGCUCUAUUCAGAUGCAGAGGCGGCCUGGGCUCCGGGUUGGCCCGGCGGCAGUCUCACGUGAAAACCAGCGAGCGGCAGAGGCCACGGCUGGGCCAUCCCUGCCCUCACCGCCCCCUCGGCUUCCUGGCUGCUCCAGGACCGCGUUCUGGCCGGCUUUCCCUCCUGCUUGGAGAACCCCCUUCAAGAUUGCAGAGUGAGCGGGUCAAUAAUAGGAACGAACUUCCACUCUGAGGGUAUCUAUUUUAAAUGUCAGGUGAUAGAAGGGAUUUGCACACACUCAACACUGAGGACUGAAAAUGCAGACGGGAACCAGACACAGGAGACCAGCAGCAUUCCUGUGUGAAGGGCAAGCACGAGAGCUCACCUGGCCCGCCAAUCCCACACGCAGUCCAUAAUCACCGUCCGGAAAAGCCGUGUGACAGCCGCUCUGUAGAAAACGCAGGGUCUGACAGGGUUUCCAAGCAGGAGGCCGCUUAGAGUCCAUCUGGGUCCGAUUCCAUCAAGGCAGCCUUGAGGGCUGCCGGUGCGGGUGGCCUGAAGCUCCUGCCCUGCCCUGUCUCCGGCCACCAGGGCCUGCGCUGAGACUGCAUCGGAGCCUGGACCCCAGAGCAGGCCUGCACGCCCAGGUUCUGGGGGUCAGCCUGGGAGGACCCUACAUCCCCCCUGCUCCCAGCCCGCUCUGCCUCAGUUCCCUCGCCUGCACCCUGCCUGCCCCCCACAACCUGCCUCUUCUAGUCAAGGCCAAAUGUCACUUCACCCCAAAGCUGAGACCGGCAGGCAUCACCCCGAGAGGAGCCCACAGAGUGAACGCCGAUGAUAACAUGUCAGAGGAUGGCACAGGGCAGGCCAGGACUUCGGGUUACUUCUGCUGUCUGUCUAGAUCUGGCCACCCUCAUAAGUUAGAGCAAGCAAAAAAUUGUCCUGAUUAAAACCAUGGCCACACGUCUGGCCAAACGUCCAGGGUGAUGCAACAACCCUCCAAGGGUCACAUGUCCUGACUCGUGUGACGGAGCCGCCCGCUGUCCCUGGUUACCAACCAUCGCUGCCUCUAUGUCACAGGGGAGGAGGCUGGAGCGCCAAGAGGCCAUGCGGCUGCCCCACAAUCACAUCCCUGUCAGGUCCCGGAGCUGGAUUCAGACCCGGAACGGUGGGUCGGAGAUCCAGACCCCUCCCGUGUUGCCCUGAAGCAAAGAGGGUUCCCAUGCCGGCGGCUCGGGGUCCACGCCCGACCCCGAGGGUGGCUCCUCCUCAGUCGGAGGCAGGCCACGGGGACAACCUUCCUGACGAGGGCAGUGCCCCCUCAGCCCAGCUGUCCUCCUGCUGGAAUUGAUCCUGGGGAAACAACACAAGGAUGGUGUGUGCACAGAUUUGACUUUAGUCCAAAUACUUUAUAGCACCUACCCCGUGCCAGGCGCUGUUGUAAGCCUUUAAAUAUAACUCACUCAGGGAUGCUUACGGCAGUGUUGUCCAUAAUAUAACAGGGAAUAAUUGGAAACAUCCUAGACGUCCAACAGAGGAGUGAUUUAACAAGCGAUGGGAAACGCACAUACGUCCAAAUACAAUGGGGCCAUUUAAAAAUGUCCCCAGUCCAAGCUUAACAGAAAGACGUAAACAACCUAUUGUUUAAG
rnacentral:lncRNA from 1 species